GGCGCACGGGUGAGUAAUGCUUAGGAAUCUGCCCUGUAGUGGGGGACAACCCGGGGAAACUCGGGCUAAUACCGCAUAAUCUCUUCGGAGGAAAGCGGGGGAUCUUCGGACCUCGCGCUAUUGGAUGAGCCUAAGUCAGAUUAGCUUGAUGGUGGGGUAACGGCCUACCAUGGCGACGAUCUGUAGCUGGUCUGAGAGGAUGAUCAGCCACACUGGGACUGAGACACGGCCCAGACUCCUACGGGAGGCAGCAGUGGGGAAUAUUGCACAAUGGGCGAAAGCCUGAUGCAGCCAUGCCGCGUGUGUGAAGAAGGCUUUCGGGUUGUAAAGCACUUUCAGCAGGGAGGAAAGGAUGUAGAUUAAUACUCUGCAUCUGUGACGUUACCUGCAGAAGAAGCACCGGCUAACUCCGUGCCAGCAGCAGCGG
rnacentral:rRNA from 1 species